UUGCCCAUCAUGGACUUGCCAGUGUCUCUGAUGACCAACACAGGGGGGCAAAGCAACUCUCUCAUAAACCUGUAGCGAAGGUUAUUAUUCCUUGCUGCGGAUCCUGUCGGGAGAAACAUCA